AGGUGACUCAGCAGCCGCGGUAAUACGUAGAGGGCAAGCGUUGUCCGGAAUUAUUGGGCGUAAAGGGUACGCAGGCGGAUAAGCAAGUCAAAUGUGAAAGUUGGUGCUCAACCGCCAGAUUGCGUUUGAAACUGUUUAUCUUGAGUGCAGUAGAGGGGAGCGGAAUUCCUGGUGGAGCGGUGAAAUGCGUAGAUAUCAGGAAGAACACCAGUGGCGAAGGCGGCUCUCUGGACUGCAACUGACGCUGAGGYACGAAAGCCGGGGGAGCGAACGGGAUUAGAUACCCGGUAGUCCCGGCUGUAAACGAUGGACACUAGGUGUUGGAGGUUCGAAUCCAUCAGUGCCGGAGUU
rnacentral:rRNA from 1 species